rnacentral:ncRNA from 1 species
GUUUGCACCGAGCCCUUGCCAAAUGAUUUUUCACCCAAAAUAAUAGCGCGUUUGUGGUCUUGCAGCGCACCGGCCACAAUCUCUGAGGCUGAGGCCGAACCAUCGUUAAUCAUAACCACAAUCGGCAAGCCUUUCAAAAUAUCACCGGCUUUGGCCGAAUACUUAAUAUUGUCCUCUUCAUUGCGCGACCGUGUUGACACAAUCUCUCCUUGAUCCAAGAACAAAUCCGAAACCGCAAUCGCCUGAUCAAGCAAUCCCCCCGGAUUGUUGCGCA